rnacentral:rRNA from 1 species
GUUAGGAAUAUUGGACAAUGGGCGCAAGCCUGAUCCAGCCAUGCCGCGUGAGUGAUGAAGGCCUUCGGGUUGUAAAGCUCUUUAGCCGAUGAUUAUAAUGACUGUAGUCGGAAAAUAAGCCCCGGCUAACUUCGUGCCAGCAGCCGCGGUAAUACGAAGGGGGCGAGCGUUAUUCGGAAUCACUGGGCGUAAAGCGUGCGUAGGCGGCUUUGCAAGUUGGGAGUGAAAGCCCAGGGCUCAACCCUGGAAUUGCUCUCAAAACUGCAAGGCUCGAAUUCGGGAGAGGAUAGCGGAAUUGUCAGUGUAGCAGUGAAAUGCGUAGAUAUUGGAAGGAACACCAGUGGCGUAAGCGGCUAUCUGGACGAGUAUUGACGCUGAGGCACGAAAGCGUGGGGAUCAAACAGGAUUAGAUACCCGUGUAGUCC